ACUGGGCAUGGUGGUGCACACCUGUAAUCCCAGCAGCUCAGGAGGUUGAGGGAGGAGGUUCAUGAGUUCAAAGCCAGCCUCAGCAAAAGCAAGGCACUAAGCAAUUCAGUGAGACCCUGUCUCUA
rnacentral:sRNA from 1 species